CCUACGGGUGGCAGCAGUGGGGAAUAUUGGGCAAUGGAGGAAACUCUGACCCAGCAACGCCGCGUGAAUGAUGAAGGUCUUCGGAUUGUAAAGUUCUUUUCUACGGGAAGAAGAAAGUGACGGUACCUUAGGAAUAAGACUCGGCUAACUACGUGACAGCAGCCGCGGUAAUACGUAGGAGGAAAGGGGUAUCCGGAAGGACUGGGAGUAAAGGGUGCGGAGGGGGUUUGACAAGUUGGUAGCGUAACUCCGGGGCUCAACCUCGGCACUACUACCAAAACUAUCGGACGUGAGUGCAGGAGGGGCAAAUGGAAGUCCUAGUGUAGCGGUGGAAUGCGUAGAUAUUAGGAGGAACACCAGUGGCGAAGGCGAUUUGCUGGACUGUAACUGACACUGAGGCACGAAAGCGUGGGGAGCAAACAGGAUUAGAUACCCUAGUAGUC
rnacentral:rRNA from 1 species